ACACUUCUAAAAUCAUAAAUAAGAUAAUUAACUAAUUAUCCUUCAACAUAAUCGAAUUCCAAAACAUUGCAGCAGAUAAAGUUCAUCAUCAUAAAUAAGUCUUGGCACGCAGGCCUCAUCAAAACAUCUCAUAAUUAUUCAGUUAAACAACUUAAUCAUUUAAAUUCAUAAAAAAAAUACGUAAAGGAAUAAGAAAUAGCCACAAA
rnacentral:lncRNA from 1 species